GCCCGGUUAGCUCAGUCGGCAGAGCGCAAGGCUCUUAACCUUGUGGUCGUGGGUUCGAGCCCCACAUCGGGUG
rnacentral:tRNA from 1 species